AACAAUGCGUUGACGAAAUCCCCAACCUGUAAGGAAUACGGCCAGUCAGUUUGUACCGACAGCCAAUACAAAACGUGGGUUCAGGAUAACUGUGCUUCCUAUUGCAACCUUUGUGAUUCCAACACUUGUAAGGACCAGCGGGACAACUGUGCAUCAUACGGCAGCUCAGCAUGUGGUGGGCACUUCAUCAACUGGGCGAAAGACAACUGUGCUAAAACAUGUGGUCUCUGUGAUCUGGUGACUGACUGAGCAAAGAUUAGAGCAGUGAGGCAUCGGGAAUUCCCUGUACAUAGCUCUUAGUCGGUACAAUAAAACUGCCGUUCAUCGAG